rnacentral:lncRNA from 1 species
GGGUUUGUGGCGAUGACAGAUAAAAAUUGAAACCCACAGUACUGGGUUGGGCAUCCCAAGACAUUAAAAACUACUGAAGCUAUGCAGAUGCAUCUUCCAGGCAAAGAUGAUAUGAUGAUAGCACUGGACGAUUAUGCAAACCUUACAGCCCUUCCAGAAAUGUGAACUACCCAGCACCAUGAACUGAACUCAGCGAUGUUCAACAAUGGCCCAAACUCUCUGAUACAGGGAAUGGGUAAAUGAACUGGAACUAUGUCACUACAACAUGGUUUACAACAAGAUAUGACUAUCACAGUGCAUCAGCACCAUGCAAGGUUCAUAGCCAUCAAUAUUUGUCCUUGCACCUGGUAACAUCAGCAAUUUGGGGAAUUAUCAAGUUCAUGGCAAAUAAGCCAUCAAGCAUUUCAAGAAUUUAUUUAACCAAAGCAAGAACAGGAAAACUUGGAACAUGCUUAUCAAAAAUUUACAGCAUUACAUAAUCAGUAAUUGCAUGGACAUGGUCCCACUAGAAUUUUCCAACUGUGUUGCAUACAACAAAAAUAUUCUUGUAAGUUGCAUGAAAGAUUUUAGACUUCAUAUAACAGUAUAAUCA